rnacentral:rRNA from 1 species
GGGUGUGAUCAUACUAGUGUUAAUGCACCGGAUCCCAUCAGAACUCCACAGUUAAGCAUGCUUGGGCUAGAGUAGUAUUGGGAUGGGUGACCUCCCAGGAAGUCCUAGUGUUGCACCCU